GAUCUUCAGGAGAAUUGAGCAAAACCCAAACUCCUCGUUCUCAACGAAGACCUUCUGCAUGACCAAGAACAUGAGUCUGCUCCCUCAAGUCCUGCAGCUGCUGCCAGUACUCCUCCCUGCUCCACCUUACUAAUUUGGAAGAAGAGUUUCAGACCCAUCAACCUGGAAGUUCAGAUGUUUUCAUUGAUAUCCAGCCUAAGAUCUUUUGUAUGGCCAAGAAGAGAAAGGAGCGGCCAUCUUCUCAACAACAUGAACUUUCUCCCUUAAGACUGACAAGAUAAUGUAGCCCUGACGCUGCUGCCAGUUCUCCUCCCGGUUUCCACCUUACACACUUGGGAGAAGAGUUUCAGAUCCAU